CAGCCGCCGCGGGAAUACGUAGGUGGCAAGCGUUGUCCGGAAUUAUUGGGCGUAAAGGGCUCGCAGGCGGUUUCUUAAGUCUGAUGUGAAAGCCCCCGGCUCAACCGGGGAGGGUCAUUGGAAACUGGGAAACUUGAGUGCAGAAGAGGAGAGUGGAAUUCCACGUGUAGCGGUGAAAUGCGUAGAGAUGUGGAGGAACACCGGUGGCGAAGGCGACUCUCUGGUCUGUAACUGACGCUGAGGAGCGAAAGCGUGGGGAGCGAACAGGAUUAGAUACCCCCGUAGUCCCUGUCUCUUAUAC
rnacentral:rRNA from 1 species